UUAUUCGUAGCUCUCAUUUGGUGGGAAAUUAGUUUGUGUGAACUUUGAGAGAAACAGUGCACAGUGUUCAAAGGUAUUCCUCUGUUGUUUUAUAAAAAUCAAUCUCUCUCUCUCUCUCUUUGUGUGUGUGUGUUUAUCCUUCAUCCUUUCUGGAAUCUGCUGGCUAUGUUUUUAUUUUUCUCACACUUUCAUGUAAAUUUACUAUUCAUAUCCUCUGUAGUAGUUUAUAUGUUUAUGACAAUAAUAUAACUUUCAGGUAGAUGGAAAUACUUCAGGAAAUAUAAGUGUCAAAUGACUACUUCAUAAAUUUUCCUUCAUUUUCAUUUUUAUUGCACAAAUAUGUAAAAGUAAAUAACAGAUUACUACCUAGAACAAAACAAGACAGAAAUUCAAGCUUAUUAUAUAGGCAUCUGGUUAUCGAUCCAAGCAUGCCUCUCUUUGACAGUGAGAUAGAGAAGAGACUACAAACAUAUUGCAGAGGAUGAAUUGUCAACAACAAAUUGUCCUAAAGGUCCUCAGACAAGGAUCUGCGUAAGCAGAAAGACUAGGUGAACUGAGUUCCUUACUUCAGACACCUGCUCAGGCAAGUGUUUUAACCACCCUCCACUCCUGUUUUAACUUUGUAAAGAAAAGAAAUCAAUAAGAGAAAGAAAAAUAAUAAAAUAUCAGUAAUUCUCUGCGUCUGAAAAGGCAGAUAAUUUAUAUCUUUUACAGAUAGUUUCCUGAACGCAGUUCAUACUAAAUUUCGACAGCAUAUUCACUAAAUCUUUGAAUGUUCUGAGGAAAAAUUCAAUUUGUUGAGCUUAAAGGAUAUUUCCCAAUAAAUUUUGUUAAUUCAUAUUUGAAUGCUAAUAUGAAUCAAAUAAAUGAUAGCUCAAAUAAAAAUGGAUAGUCUUUUUUAGGCAGUUUUUAUCUUUACAAGAUCAAAAUUGUAUUUUCCUGUCUCCUCCUCAGUUUGUCGUUGUACUGGUCUAGACUUGGGCAAUUUGCCCAGUAUGUAGGUGGAUGUUUCAUUUUAAAAUACUGAAUUUUUGGAUCAUGCUGAAGCUAUUACCUUUGAAAAGUAAUCAAACAGCUCAUCUGAUUGCAAUUUUUGUUUCAUUUUUUACUUAAAAACAGAAAUACAGUCUACUUGGAUUUCUUAGAUUGCUGGUUAUAUUCACAAUUUAGAGAAUAAAAAAAUAUUGUCAAACAUUGUGAAGAGAUUGGAAUUUUCCAAAUUGUUUCAAAAUACAAAUACAUGAGAAUAUAAUAUCAGCUCAUGGUUAUGGAUGUAGUCAAAUUCAUUAUAUGCUUGUCAAUUUUCUUUGUUCUCAUAUGAAAAACAAACAAAAAGUCUUAUAAUUCUUCAGCAGAAUUUGAAGCCUAGUGACCAUAUUUAUUCAUUUUGAUAGCACAUAAAACUAGUUGAAGGAAGGGUGCACCAAACCGAUGUAGGGUUAAUGAUCUUCUUGGACUAAUGUGACAAGGAGUGGUACUAGUUGCAGACCAGGUCAUACAGAAAUACUUGCACACACUGGGGCAGUGAUGGCUCAUUUUAUCCAGGCAGUAAAGAUCAGCUUUGCAUUAUGCUAAUUGAAUACCAGACUUGUGUUUUCGCUGGAACUUCAUUACAUCUAAACUGCUUGUCAGUUCUGCCUGUGUUGGGAUGAUCCAGACAGCAAUUAACUGCUUCUAUUUUCACAUUCUAAGCAGGCAUGCCAUAUAUAAAAUAUAGUCAUUUAGUAACAGGUAAUUUGAUUUCAAUGGUGGGUGUGCCCAGGUUUCUAGAUGAAACUUAAAGAACUAGGCUACAUUUAUACAGAAUUAUUAUUGACUUAAAUAUGAUUGUAAAAUUGAGGAUUUGUAGCAAGAACAAAUUCUAGAAAAAAAAAACACUUUGAAGCUGGAGGCAGGAUAAUUACGGGCAACUUUCUGAAGCUGAUGAAUACUGCAAUGAGCCUUCCACAUUUAUUUAGACAAUAUUGGAAAAAACAUCACUUCUCCAGUCCCAUAUUCAAGAUGUUCUUCUGGGACAUUGGACAGGAUGUUUCUCUUAACCUUUUUUCCCUUUUCCUUCUUUUCCACAGCCCCUCCCGCCCAUUUUACUAGAAAAGGAAAAGACUUCCUUGCCAGAUUUUUUAAAGCCCUGCCUAAGUAGUAAACUUGUAUCCGAAACAUGCGGUUGUUAGAAAGUGCUGUUAUCUAUUUAAAACUUGAGGAAACACUUAAUUUUUAAGGCAACAUUAACUGAGAUUGAAUUAUGGAACGAUUCCUCCGGAAGUUUGUGUCAGAGGAGUGUUAUUGCCACAUAAAUCCACUGUGGUCAGUUGAGUGACAUGGAAGAGGAAAAGCACUUAAAAUAAUUGGACACUCAGGGGUCCCUUUCCAAAGUCUGUUGUGACAUGUAGCUAUGUCACCCUCAUUAAAACCAGUGGGGGUUUUGAGGCUGAGAUUCAUCUUUACAGAUUAAAGCCUGCUUUCCUACCACAUGGCACCAUGGAAACUAUCAGAGCAGGCCUGGAGCAGCACAUAUCAAAUGUAUGCUGGAGAGUAAUGGCGCUCACUUCCCUCCUCUCAUUCAUCUUUGCAAACAUUCUGCUUGUAAAUUUCAAUGCACUCAAUUCAAGACAGAAACAGACUGAAUUCAUGGGUUUUUGUAGUGCUGGGUCAGAAAAACUGAAUUGCCUUUUAAGUGUAUCACCUUUUAGGCCUCCAGUGUACCUACUGAUAUUAAACCAAUGCCUACAUUUUGACUUAACAGACUAGAGGGCUGUAACGUACAUGAAAGAAUGAUUUCCACCAUCUCUUUGGGAAAAAAAAUAAAGAAAGGUUUUGGAGUACAGAUUUAAUCUAUACAGGUAGAAACUGGAAAUAUGUAUGACUUAAUUUUCAUUAAGGAAAGGAUGAUAUUUGUAUCAAUACUGAUUGUUUUAAAGAAAAACAGGAAAUAUGGCUUACUGUCUUUUAAUUAUUAC
rnacentral:lncRNA from 1 species